AAGAGAAGAUGGAUGGGCUUCAAUAGGCCAACAAGUGUUUGUGAGUUUGACACCCAUUACUAGAGACUUGUGGUGAGAAACAUCUACACUUUUCACUAAAGCCCACCAUCUCUUAAACCUCUCAAAUGCCACGGAUCACUUAGCUUGAGAUUUUGAGACAUAGUUUACACUACCGAUCCAGUUUGAUGUCUGAGACAAUAGCAAUAGACUUU